rnacentral:rRNA from 1 species
UAAUACGUAGGGAGCAAGCGUUGUCCGGAAUCAUUGGGCGUAAAGCGCGCGUAGGUGGCCCUGUAAGUCCGCUCUGAAAGUCGAAGGCUCAACCUUCGAAAGCGGGUGGAUACUGCAGGGCUAGAGUCCGGAAGAGGCGAGUGGAAUUCCUGGUGUAGCGGUGGAAUGCGCAGAUAUCAGGAGGAACACCAACGGCGAAGGCAGCUCGCUGGGACGGUACUGACACUGAGGCGCGAAAGCGUGGGGAGCGAACAGGAUUAGAUACCCUGGUAGUCCACGCCGUAAACGAUGGGAACUAGGUGUGGGAGGUGUCGACUCCUCCCGUGCCGGCGCUAACGCAUUAAGUUCCCCGCCUGGGGAGUACGGCCGCAAGGCUA